rnacentral:rRNA from 1 species
UACAGAGACUGCAAGCGUUGUUCGGAUUCAUUGGGCGUAAAGGGUCCGUAGGCGGUCGGUUAAGUCGGAUGUGAAAUCUCGUGGCCCUAACCACGAGCGGUCGAUUCGAAACUAAUCGGCUAGAGGGCUGGAGAGGAGACUGGAAUUCAUGGUGUAGCAGUGAAAUGCGUAGAGAUCAUGAGGAAGACCAGUGGCGAAGGCGGGUCUCUGGACAGUUCC